CCACAUUACCACUAUUGUGUGGCCACCACUCAGGAUGUCACAGACUUCUGUUUAGAUGCUGGAUUACAGAGGUACAGUGUGUCAUCCUGACUUCAACACAGGAGUGAAGCCCUUAUGUGACAUACUGAAGGAUUCACACUGUAAACUGGAGAGAUUGAGGUGUGAAGUUUUUCUCCUGCUCCAGCAGUAUGUUUAGUCGUAUGUCCUCAUGAAAACAGGCGCUGGUGUGAACAGCUCGGCGCUGGAAAUGGCUUUUUGUGGUGUUAUAGGUUUCUUCACAUUUCUCACUCCUGUUCUCCUCCUCUUGAUCACCAAAGGCCAUGUAGUAUUUCUGUAGCACAAGGACACAGCCAUCACCUACAGUGCCCUUCUAGCAGAGAAACAAACUGUUUUCCAUCAGACUGAUGUCAUUAUCCCUGAUGUAAGCAGGAUGUUCACUAGUUUUUAUGUCAAGAUACACUCAAUGCUGGUCAACCCAAUGCCUUUGCUCUGCUCGAUGACUACAACCACCUCAUGGGUUACGACCGGCCCUUUACAGAUGACUUGAACAAACCAGAUAAAUGUUAACUUGUCCACCAACACUGGGGAAGUUUAGCGUGUACAUUUCUAUGGACUGUUGAUGUGUAUUAAAUAUUGGCAGGAACAAUAUGUCAUCUAGUAUAUUUGUCAUGUAGAAACUUGUCUAAAAGUGUAAAUAAAUUGAUAUUUACCAUCUGCAAACACUCAAUUCAAUCUCAGUUCCCUGCCUGUGUCAUGAUUUUAUCUUUUGGCCCAACUUCUGUUUCCUUAUUCUCAGUGCUAUUUAUAGGGGGGAAAACAGUGACCUAUCUAUCGAAAGGGGAUGAUUUACAGAAACAGAGUUAGUUGUGUGAAUGCUUUGGUCAUUUCAUUUAAGAAACAAAAACUAUUGUUAGUUAUUUCAGACAGAGAGGUCUACUAGUUUUAUUCAGGAAAACAUAACAGUUAUGCUUUUGUUCACUUCAGUUUUUAUCUUUUAUAUUAUAAUAGCUUUGUCCUCUACCUCUGCAGAAAGAAGAUUGCUCUGUUCCUCAGAGCAGGUUAGUGUUUGGUACAGCUAUGAAGGGCCGUUGUAUUUCCUGUCAGUGACCGGUUCCCCCUGCUCUACAAAAGUGGCCUGGCACAAUAU